CAAGUACUCCCUCUGUCCGGAAUUACUUGUCAUCAAAAUGGAUGUGUCUAGAACUAAAAUACAUCUAGAUGCAUCCAUUUCAAUGACAAGUAUUUUUGGACGGAGGGAGUACAAG
rnacentral:pre_miRNA from 1 species